GACGAACGCUGGCGGCGUGCUUAACACAUGCAAGUCGAACGAAGAGCGAUGGAAGCUUGCUUCUAUCAAUCUUAGUGGCGAACGGGUGAGUAACGCGUAAUCAACCUGCCCUUCAGAGGGGGACAACAGUUGGAAACGACUGCUAAUACCGCAUACGAUCUAAUCUCGGCAUCGAGGAUAGAUGAAAGGUGGCCUCUAUGUAUAAGCUAUCACUGAAGGAGGGGAUUGCGUCUGAUUAGCUAGUUGGAGGGGUAACGGCCCACCAAGGCGAUGAUCAGUAGCCGGUCUGAGAGGAUGAACGGCCACAUUGGGACUGAGACACGGCCCAGACUCCUACGGGAGGCAGCAGUGGGGAAUCUUCCGCAAUGGACGAAAGUCUGACGGAGCAACGCCGCGUGAGUGAUGACGGCCGUCGGGUUGUAAAGCUCUGUUAAUCGGGACGAAAGGCCUUCUUGCGAAUAGUGAGAAGGAUUGACGGUACCGGAAUAGAAAGCCACGGCUAACUACGUG
rnacentral:rRNA from 1 species